rnacentral:rRNA from 1 species
GUAGUCGAUGGGAAACAGGUUAAUAUUCCUGUACUUGGUGUUACUGCGAAGGGGGGACGGAGAAGGCUAUGUUGGCCGGGCGACGGUUGUCCCGGUUUAAGCGUGUAGGCUGGUUUUCCAGGCAAAUCCGGAAAAUCAAGGCUGAGGCGUGAUGACGAGGCACUACGGUGCUGAAGCAACAAAUGCCCUGCUUCCAGGAAAAGCCUCUAAGCAUCAGGUAACAUCAAAUCGUACCCCAAACCGACACAGGUGGUCAGGUAGAGAAUACCAAGGCGCUUGAGAGAACUCGGGUGAAGGAACUAGGCAAAAUGGUGCCGUAACUUCGGGAGAAGGCACGCUGAUAUGUAGGUGAAGUCCCUUGCGGAUGGAGCUGAAAUCAGUCGAAGAUACCAGCUGGCUGCAACUGUUUAUUAAAAACACAGCACUGUGCAAACACGAAAGUGGACGUAUACGGUGUGACGCCUGCCCGGUGCCGGAAGGUUAAUUGAUGGGGUCAGCGCAAGCGAAGCUCUUGAUCGAAGCCCCGGUAAACGGCGGCCGUAACUAUAACGGUCCUAAGGUAGCGAAAUUCCUUGUCGGGUAAGUUCCGACCUGCACGAAUGGCGUAAUGAUGGCCAGGCUGUCUCCACCCGAGACUCAGUGAAAUUGAACUCGCUGUGAAGAUGCAGUGUACCCGCGGCAAGACGGAAAGACCCCGUGAACCUUUACUAUAGCUUGACACUGAACAUUGAGCCUUGAUGUGUAGGAUAGGUGGGAGGCUUUGAAGUGUGGACGCCAGUCUGCAUGGAGCCGGCCUUGAAAUACCACCCUUUAAUGUUUGAUGUUCUAACGUGGACCCGUGAUCCGGGUUGCGGACAGUGUCUGGUGGGUAGUUUGACUGGGGCGGUCUCCUCCUAAAGAGUAACGGAGGAGCACGAAGGUUGGCUAAUCCUGGUCGGACAUCAGGAGGUUAGUGCAAUGGCAUAAGCCAGCUUGACUGCGAGCGUGACGGCGCGAGCAGGUGCGAAAGCAGGUCAUAGUGAUCCGGUGGUUCUGAAUGGAAGGGCCAUCGCUCAACGGAUAAAAGGUACUCCGGGGAUAACAGGCUGAUACCGCCCAAGAGUUCAUAUCGACGGCGGUGUUUGGCACCUCGAUGUCGGCUCAUCACAUCCUGGGGCUGAAGUAGGUCCCAAGGGUAUGGCUGUUCGCCAUUUAAAGUGGUACGCGAGCUGGGUUUAGAACGUCGUGAGACAGUUCGGUCCCUAUCUGCCGUGGGCGCUGGAGAACUGAGGGGGGCUGCUCCUAGUACGAGAGGACCGGAGUGGACGCAUCACUGGUGUUCGGGUUGUCAUGCCAAUGGCACUGCCCGGUAGCUAAAUGCGGAAGAGAUAAGUGCUGAAAGCAUCUAAGCACGAAACUUGCCCCGAGAUGAGUUCUCCCUGACCCUUUAAGGGUCCUGAAGGAACGUUGAAGACGACGACGUUGAUAGGCCGGGUGUGUAAGCGCAGCGAUGCGUUGAGCUAACCGGUACUAAUGAACCGUGAGG